rnacentral:rRNA from 1 species
AUUGAACGCUGGCGGCAGGCCUAACACAUGCAAGUCGAGCGGAUGAAGCGAGCUUGCUCCUGGAUUCAGCGGCGGACGGGUGAGUAAUGCCUAUGAAUCUGCCUGGUCGUGGGGGAUAACGUCCGGAAACGGGCGCUAAUACCGCAUACGUCCUGAGGGAGAAAGUGGGGGAUCUUCGGACCUCACGCUAUCAUAUGAGCCUAGGGCGGAUUCGAUAGUUUGUGGGGUAGAUGCCUACCAAGGCGACGAUCCGUAACUGGUCUGAAGGAAUGACCAGUCACACUGGAACAGAGGAACAGUCCAGACUCCUACGGGAGGCCGCAGUGGGGAAUAUUGGACAAUGGGCGAGAGCCUAAUCCAGCCAUGCGGCGUGUGUGAAGAAGGUCCUCGGAUUGUAAAGCACUUUAAGUUGGGAGGAAGGGCAGUAAGUUAAUACCUUGCUGUUUUGACGUUACCAACAGAAUAAGCACCGGCUAACUUCGUG